UGCAAGUCGAACGCGCAGCGAAAGGUGCUUGCACCUUUCAAGCGAGUGGCGAACGGGUGAGUAACACGUGGAUAACCUGCCUCAAGGCUGGGGAUAACAUUUGGAAACAGAUGCUAAUACCGAAUAAAACUUAGUAUCGCAUGAUACAAAGUUGAAAGGCGCUACGGCGUCACCUAGAGAUGGGUCCGCGGUGCAUUAGUUAGUUGGUGGGGUAAAGGCCUACCAAGACAAUGAUGCAUAGCCGAGUUGAGAGACUGAUCGGCCACAUUGGGACUGAGACACGGCCCAAACUCCUACGGGAGGCUGCAGUAGGGAAUCUUCCACAAUGGGCGAAAGCCUGAUGGAGCAACGCCGCGUGUGUGAUGAAGGCUUUAGGGUCGUAAAGCACUGUUGUAUGGGAAGAAAUGCUAGAAUAGGGAAUGAUUCUANUUCGACGGUACCAUACCAGAAAGGGACGGCUAAAUAC
rnacentral:rRNA from 1 species